GAUGAACGCUGGCUACAGGCUUAACACAUGCAAGUCGAGGGGAAACGACGGGGAAGCUUGCUUCCCCGGGCGUCGACCGGCGCACGGGUGAGUAACGCGUAUCCAACCUGCCUCUGACUGAGGGAUAACCCGUCGAAAGUCGGCCUAAUACCUCAUGGCAUCGUCUGCGGGCAUCCAACGACGAUUAAAGAUUUCAUCGGUCAGGGAUGGGGAUGCGUCUGAUUAGCUUGUUGGCGAGGUAACGGCCCACCAAGGCUACGAUCAGUAGGGGUUCUGAGAGGAAGGUCCCCCACAUUGGAACUGAGACACGGUCCAAAAUCGUACGGGGGGGAGCAGUGAGGAAUAUUGGUCAAUGGGCGGGAGCCUGAACCAGCCAAGUAGCGUGCAGGAUGACGGCCCUAUGGGUUGUAAACUGCUUUUAUGCGGGGAUAAAGUGAGGGACGUGUCCUUCAUUGAAGGUACCGAAUGAAUAAGGACCGGCUAAUUCCGUG
rnacentral:rRNA from 1 species